CAAAAGAAAAAGAAACCAGUACUUCUAGUCGCCAAGUAUCCGUGUGUGUUUUUUUUAUUCUGCCGGAUACAAAAAACAUAUUUGUAUAUUGUGUUGGAUCAGUUCGUUUCGAAAAUGUUCUUACGGGCCUCCUGGAAGUUGAUACCUUCAUGAAAAAGUUGCCCAACAUAGUUCUUGAAUACAUUCUUGGAAUCAUUUCGCCUUACAGUGAUUUGCAAUCUAGCAAACUUUUCUACAAGAGGUUGUUAAAUCGUCCAAGAUGUGGUCAACAAAUACCAAAUGAGGUUUCACUCAAGUCUCAACGAAAACAAACAUUCAAUGGAAAGCCCUACAGACCACCAGUGACCUAACUAUGAUUCUCAAUACGCAAUUCAUGUGCUGUCUGCUGAAAUGAUAAUUUCAUGUAUGUAUUUAGAGGGUACUCAUUAACCAAUACUACAUUUAAUGACUUGCGAAAAUUGAAUCUCCCAACAAGAAGUUUUUUUUAGUCCGCUUCCUACAGGAUCCCUAAUCUUCACCCAAAGCUUAAAUCAUAAAUUAUAUUUAUACCAUAAAUCACGUUUAAGGCCAUCACAUGACUGUUGUCAGAGGCAACGACGACGCUUCUGAAGUUUGUUUGCUUUCUUUGAAGUUUGUUUGCUAAAAACGCUAUAACCUCCACGUGUAGAAAAUAAAUAAAAAAGCUUGCACUUACGAAGGCCUUUGAAUUUCACUAAUAAAGUCAUCGUCUUCCUCCAUUGGCGCCAUAUUUGAUGACAGGCUUAUUCAACAGGGAAAAACGUGAGCAAGAGGACAACACUGCAGCAUGUGCUGAAUUCUACUAAUGAACUAGAGAUUCAAUCGUAGGCGUGAUGCGGGUUAUCAUCUGUGGUUGAAUAAUCCACCCACCCACCCCCAAAAGUGGAGUUCAUUUCAAUAAUCUCGGUAGCUAGAUAGCUGUUUGCUAUUGGCUAAUGGCAAAUCUAUCGUAUGGCUCCACCCACCCCCAACAGCCUCUUUCCAGCACACCAUACAUUUUUUCCCCGCCAA